GAACACAAUAAAUUAUGUAAUGUAAACAACUACCUGAAAAACAGGUAGAACGAUACUUUUGUAUCGUUUAUUGCAUUUACGGAGGGAGUGGUGUAUGCUGGGUAAUGGCACAGCUAGCUACUGGGUGACUUUAUUCACCCGCUUAGGCCGUUAUCAGUCCAUACAAUGGACGUUAUUAGCACAAAUCAGUCCCAUAGAUAUGGGCCAUCUCCUGCUAGACUGUUCAGAAGGUUGUUAUCAUCCAUCCAGAUGGAGGAUCACUAACAGGAGCGUGGAAGACUCCAGAAUCCACUCUGGCUGGAAUCCGGUGGAUAUUUCGUCAAGACAGUGCGUUUCUUACGAUUACAUGCAUUUGAAUGGGGAAAUCGCCCGAAAAAAAGUGUAGGUUUUCAUUAUGUGAAUAACUUGAAAAUCUUAGCUCACACAGCUUUAAAACCUGUUUGCCCAGCACGGGGAUAUUGAAUUCUAUAAGAUAAAGCCAUAAAUAUGUGUGUCUGAGUCUUCUAUCAAAAGUUACAGCUAUUUAUAUGAAGUUGUACAAAAAGACUUUAUUUCAUGGGGAAAUCGCCCGAAGCUGUACAAAAACACUUUAUUUCGCCGAGACAGUGCGUUUCUGACUAUUACAUGCAUUUGAAUGCAGUUCUCGCACGAAACAAAGUAUAGGUUUUCAUUAUGUGAAUAACUCGAAAAUCUUAGCUCAAACAGCUGCAAAACCUGUUUGCCCAGCACGGGGAUAUUGAAUUCUAUAAGAUAAAGCCAUAAAUAUGUGAGUCUGAGUCUUCUAUCAAAAGUUACAGCUAUUGUCAUGGUCCACGGCCCGGCGUCCGAGGUGCGGAUGGGAUGCCCACUCCCGUGGGCGUGGCUGCUAACUCCACACCUGCAUCCCAUCCCGGGCGAUCACCAGGUGGACUAUUUAAUCCUGCCCAGCCUGCUGCUCCACGCCAGUCCGUAGUCGUCCUUCAGCGAUCACAGCUCGGCGUGUUUGAGCCACCAGCCUGUCCACCUGCCUGUCCGGAAUUUGGAUCACAAUCAGCCCCAGCCGCCUCGACCUUUCUGAAGCUUCUCCCCACGCACCCUCACCCCUCCCUCCAGAUCCCUCGGCCCCGCUAUCAUCGUAAGACGCGUACUCUACUUCCCCUCGUAUGCUGCCG
ensembl:lncRNA